UUAAAUAGCAGUUAAAUAUGGUGAUAUAACAAGGAACCCAUGUUAUCACAUGGAAGCAUCUGCACCUGCAACUAGCAACACUAACAACAAGGUUAAGCCAGCAGUAACAUAGCCAGACAGUGGUUUGCUAGGUCGAACAGGUUGAAGGUUAACAUGGCAUCCUUGAGAGCAGUGGCGGAGCGAGCGCCCAGCGACCCUGGGCAAUUGCCCAGGCUCGCUGCCACUCGUACGUUGUACACAACCCCACCACAACAGGUAAAGCUGCUCUCUACCGAGUGUAUUUACCCGGGCAAAACUUGUUUAGGCCUCCUUCACAGCCCAGCCCAUUUAUUUAAUCCCGAUUACUCUAGCCCACAAUAAUAAAAAAGAAUAGCAUCAAUCGCUCCAUUCCAGCCCACGAGGCGACAGGGAAUACCAUCGAUCGCUCUAGAGUCCGGAGUAGUUAUCUGCGUCUCCUUGUUUUCUCCAAGUACGCGUACAGGCGACAGGGACUUGAAGGCGCCGGGUCUUGAAGGCGAGGCGGCGAGGGCAUUAUAUGCGGCUGUCGGCUGGGUGAGCUGAGGGCCUGAGGCUAGCGGCAGCCGGCAGGCCGACGGGCGACGGCCGGAAGAUGCGUGGGCAGUCAGUCAUCUACUCCUCUCCCCAGUUCCUUCCUUCCCUGACUGCUUGUCUGCUUCCUUCCCUGCAGUUCCUUUCCUUCUUCUUUCAGUAAGAUUCCGUGUUAAAUUUUUUUGUUAGCUGUUGCAACUUGCAAACUACAGAAACUAUCAAACUAAUAUGCAGGAAGAAUAUACUUUUUUGUUAGCUUCAGAUUUCAAACUGGUUGCAAACUACAGAAACUAACUUCAGAUUUUUGUUACUCACUAAAUUUCAGAGAUGAGGAGGUUUUUGGUUAAGAGAGCAAGGACUGAAAAUAUGAACGAUGUGCAACCUGAAGUAGAACUGGAGCAAAGGACUGAAAAUGUGAAUGAUGCGCAGCCUGAAAUAGGAGUAGAGCAACCAGCGCGUAGCGUUGCCAAUGAAUUCAAUCCAAAUGCGAUUGAGCGCGAUCCGGGAAAGAGGAAACAAAUUUGUG
rnacentral:lncRNA from 1 species